rnacentral:rRNA from 1 species
UAGGGAAUCUUCGGCAAUGGACGAAAGUCUGACCGAGCAACGCCGCGUGAGUGAAGAAGGUUUUCGGAUCGUAAAACUCUGUUGGUAGAGAAGAACGUUGGUGAGAGUGGAAAGCUCAUCAAGUGACGGUAACUACCCAGAAAGGGACGGCUAACUACGUGCCAGCAGCCGCGGUAAUACGUAGGUCCCGAGCGGUGUCCGGAUUUAUUGGGCGUAAAGCGAGCGCAGGUGGUUUAUUAAGUCUGGUGUAAAAGGCAGUGGCUCAACCAUUGUAUGCAUUGGAAACUUGUAGACUUGAGUGCAGGAGAGGAGAGUGGAAUUCCAUGUGUAGCGGUGAAAUGCGUAGAUAUAUGGAGGAACACCGGUGGCGAAAGCGGCUCUCUGGCCUGUAACUGACACUGAGGCUCGAAAGCGUGGGGAGCAAACA